GACAGAGGGUGCAAACGUUGUUCGGAAUUACUGGGCGUAAAGCGCGUGUAGGCGGCCAUCUAAGUCGGGCGUGAAAUCCCACGGCUCAACCGUGGAAGUGCACUCGAAACUGGAUGGCUAGAGUCCUGGAGAGGAAGGUGGAAUGCGUGGUGUAGAGGUGAAAUUCGUAGAUAUCAAGCGGAACACCGGUGGCGAAGGCGCCCUUCUGGACAGUGACUGACGCUGAGACGCGAAAGCGUGGGGAGCAAACAGG
rnacentral:rRNA from 1 species